AGAGAAAGACAUAGAGGCUAUGGCGCUGGCUUGAAACCAGUGACAGGGGGUUCGAUUCCUUCCUUUCUUA
rnacentral:tRNA from 1 species